rnacentral:rRNA from 1 species
UACGUAGGGGGCAAGCGUUGUCCGGAAUCAUUGGGCGUAAAGAGCGUGUAGGCGGCCUGAUAAGUCGGCUGUGAAAGUCCAGGGCUCAACCCUGGAAUGCCAGUGGAUACUGUCGGGCUAGAGUACGGAAGAGGCGAGUGGAAUUCCUGGUGUAGCGGUGAAAUGCGCAGAUAUCAGGAGGAACACCAAUUGCGAAGGCAGCUCGCUGGGACGUAACUGACGCUGAGACGCGAAAGCGUGGGGAGCAAACAGG